rnacentral:misc_RNA from 1 species
GUUUGGUCCUGACCUUAUUAUCUACUGUUACUUAACUUACACAUGCAAGUAUCCGCACACCCGUGAGAACGCCCUUUAUUCUUCUUACAGGAUUAGGAGCCGGUAUCAGGCACAGAAUUCUUGCCCAUAACACCUAGCCACGCCACACCCUCAAGGGUACUCAGCAGUGAUAAACAUUGUUAAUAAGCGCCAGCUUGACUCAGUUAAAGUAAACAGAGCCGGCCAAUCCGGUGCCAGCCGCCGCGGCUACACCGUCGGGCCCAAGUUGAUAAACAUCGGCGUUAAGAGUGAUUAAAGUUCCAACCUACUAGAAUUAAAUUUUAACCAAGUCGUGACACACUUGUUCUUAAGAAACCCAAAAACGAAAGUUAUUCUAAAAAUAGCCACUUGAAUCCACGAUAGCUAAGAAACAAACUGGGAUUAGGUACCCCACUAUGCUUAGCUGUAAAAUAUCCACUUACACCUGAACCGCCUGGGAAUUACGAGCUCAAGCUUAAAACCCAAAGGACUUGACGGUGUCCCACCCACCUAGAGGAGCCUGUUCUAUAAUCGAUUCCCCCCGAUUUACCUCACCACUUUUUGCCUAUCCAGCCUGUAUACCUCCGUCGUAAGCUUACCAUAUGAACGACUCUUAGUGAGCCAUAAGAUUAUUACAUCAACACGUCAGGUCAAGGUGCAGCCCACAAAGUGGAAAGAAAUGGGCUACAAUUUCUAACCUAGAACACACGAAAGACUACAUGAAACACAGCCAUGAAGGUGGAUUUAGUAGUAAAAAGAAAAUAGAGCGUUCUUUUUAACCAGGCGCUGGGACGCGUACACACCGCCCGUCACCCUCUUCAAACGCCAACAAAAGUUUUUAACACAACUAAGCACAAUAGAAGAGGUAAGUCGUAACACGGUAAGCGUACUGGAAAGUGCGCUUGGACUAACAAAAUGUAGCUUAAUUAAAACAUCCCGCUUACACCGUGACCAUAUCUGUGAAACUCAGAUCAUUUUGAGCUGAAAACCUAGCCUAACUUUUAUAUACAUUCAACCUAUCUACAUCUCAACUUUAACUAAAACAUUCUUUCAUAUUAGUAAAGGCGAUUGAAAAUUUCUAAGAGCCAUAGCAACAGUACCGCAAGGGAAAAGUGAAAUAAAAAUGAAAUAAAUCUAAAGCAAAACAAAGUAGAGAUUUAACCUCGUACCUUUUGCAUCAUGAUCUAGCAAGUCCGCCCAAGCAAAAAGCAUUUAAGUUUGACUUCCCGAAACUAAACGAGCUACUUCAAAACAGCCUUCCCAGGGCCAACUCAUCUCUGUUGCAAAAGAGUGAGAAGAUUUUCAAGUAGUGGUGAUAAACCUACCGAGCUUAGAGAUAGCUGGUUAUUCAGGAAAAAGAUUUUAGUCUAACCUUAAGUUUUUCUUACAUCUCAAUAUUUUCUUAAACUUAAGAGCCAUUCAAAUAAGGUACAGCCUAUUUGAAACAGGAUACAACCUAAGACACAGGGUAAUGAAUUAAAUAAGUGACUAAGUGGGCCUAAAAGCAGCCAACUUAAAAAAGCGUUAAAGCUUCAUCACUCCUUUUAUUAAAUUCCAAUUUUAACACAAAGCCCUUCAUCAUUACUGAAUGAUUUUAUACUCUAUAAAACCCAUUAUGCUAGAACUAGUAACAAGAAACAGAUUUUCUCUAAAAUGUAAGCGUAAGCCAACAUGAACAACUCAUUGGCAUUUAUCGUCCCCGAAUCUUCAGUAACAACAAACUUCAAGAAAACUUUACUAUAAGUCUACGUUAACCUUACACUAGAACAUUUCAAGAAAGAUUAAAAGAAAAGGAAGGAACUCGGCAAAUAAUAAUCUCGCCUGUUUACCAAAAACAUCGCCUCUUGAUACACCUAUAAGAGGUCCAGCCUGCCCAGUGACCAAGUUAAACGGCCGCGGUACCCUAACCGUGCGAAGGUAGCGCAAUCACUUGUUCUUUAAAUAAGGACUAGUAUGAACGGCAUCACGAGGAUUAUACUGUCUCCCUUUUCCAAUCAGUGAAACUGAUCCCCCCGUGAAGAAGCGGGGAUACACUUAUAAGACGAGAAGACCCCAUGGAGCUUUAAACUCAAUAACAACUGCCUUGCACAUAUCAAAAUAAUUAGGCAAGAGUGAUUAUUAGUUUUCGGUUGGGGUGACCACGGAGCAAAACAAAACCUCCAUGAUGAAAAGAACAUCAUUCUUUAUUUAAGAGUUACUACUCUAAAAAUCAAUAAAUUGACAUUCCUUGAUCCAAACUUUUUGAUCAACGAACUAAGUUACCCUGGGGAUAACAGCGCAAUCCAUUUCAAGAGCUCCUAUCGACAAAUGGGUUUACGACCUCGAUGUUGGAUCAGGGUAUCCCAGUGGUGCAGCCGCUACUAA